GCCGGGCAUGGUAACGUGUGCCUGUAUUCCUAGCUACUUGGGAGGCUGAGGCAGGAGGAUCGCUUAAGCCCGGGGGUUUGAGGCUGCAGUGAGCUGUGAUCGCACCAUUGCACUCCAGCCUGGGCAACAAAGUGAGAUCCUGUAUCAA
rnacentral:SRP_RNA from 1 species